UUGUCUUCCCUUUUUAUUGCCAUCCUUGUUGGAACUUUGCUCUCCUCAGACUAUUCAGUGCCAGAGCAGCGAAGAGUGGAAGCCCUCUGAUGGUGCUGGCAGUGAUUUAAUUGCUUCUUUCUGCAGGCUGCCAAUUUCUGCAACAUUGAAACAGAGCUGAUGAAUUGCAGGUUACUUCUUCGAGCUGGAGACCUGAAGUGAAGAAGAGAACCAGAUCCAAAUGGCACAAAAGGAGCCUUGAAGAUGGCCAGGGUCAUCACAGCAGACUGAAAACUGAUUUGAAGCCUCAGAGGAGAACUAAAUAUCAGCCAAAGUUUACUUGA
rnacentral:lncRNA from 1 species